rnacentral:ncRNA from 2 species
AUUAAAUAUAAAGCGCCUGAACUGAUCCUGGACGUAAGGAUCAGUUGACGAGGAGGAGGUUUAUCGAAUGUUCGGCGGAUGCCUCCCGGUUGAAAGCACAACCGAUGAUUUCUUCUUUAAAACAUUCUGGCAACUGAAUGCACAAAGAGAAGGGAAUGCUAAAAC